rnacentral:rRNA from 1 species
UGCGUAGGCGGUUUGGUAAGUCAGAUGUGAAAUUCCUGGGCUCAACCGAGGAACUGCAUUUGAUACUGCCAGACUAGAGUACUGGAGAGGAGACUGGAAUUUACGGUGUAGCAGUGAAAUGCGUAGAUAUCGUAAGGAAGGCCAGUGGCGAAGGCGAGUCUCUGGACAGUAACUGACGCUGAGGCACGAAGGCUAGGGGAGCAAGCG